rnacentral:rRNA from 1 species
UACGAAGGGGGCUAGCGUUGUUCGGAAUCACUGGGCGUAAAGGGCGCGUAGGCGGCCUGAUAAGUCGGGGGUGAAAGCCUGUGGCUCAACCACAGAAUUGCCUUCGAUACUGUUAGGCUUGAGACCGGAAGAGGUAAGUGGAACUGCGAGUGUAGAGGUGAAAUUCGUAGAUAUUCGCAAGAACACCAGUGGCGAAGGCGGCUUUCUGGUCUGUAACUGACGCUGAGGCGCGAAAGCGUGGGGAGCAAACAGG